rnacentral:misc_RNA from 1 species
GAUGAAGAACGUAGCGAAAUGCGAUAAGUAAUGUGAAUUGCAGAAUUCAGUGAAUCAUCGAAUCUUUGAACGCACAUUGCGCCCGUCAGUAUUCUGGCGGGCAUGCCUGUUCGAGCGUCAUUACGCCCCUCAAGUCCCCUGUGGACUUGGUGUUGGGGAUCGGCGAGGCUGGUUUUCCAGCACAGCCGUCCCUUAAAUUAAUUGGCGGUCUCGCCGUGGCCCUCCUCUGCGCAGUAGUAAAACACUCGCAACAGGAGCCCGGCGCGGUCCUCUGCCGUAAAACCCCCCAACUUUUUAUAGUUGACCUCGAAUCAGGUAGGACUACCCGCUGAACUUAAGCAUAUCAAUAAGCGGAGGA